rnacentral:rRNA from 1 species
GCUGAGGAGCGAAAGCGUGGGGAGCGAACAGGAUUAGAUACCCUGGUAGUCCACGCAGUAAACGUUGGGAACUAGGUGUGGGUCACAUUCCACGUGGUCCGCGCCGCAGCUAACGCAUUAAGUUCCCCGCCUGGGGAGUACGGCCGCAAGGCUAAAACUCAAAGGAAUUGACGGGGGCCCGCACAAGCAGCGGAGCAUGUGGCUUAAUUCGACGCAACGCGAAGAACCUUACCAAGGCUUGACAUAUACCGGAAACCGCCAGAGAUGGUCGCCCCCUUGUGGUCGGUAUACAGGUGGUGCAUGGUUGUCGUCAGCUCGUGUCGUGAGAUGUUGGGUUAAGUCCCGCAACGAGCGCAACCCUCGUUCUGUGUUGCCAGCGGGUUAUGCCGGGGACUCACAGGAGACUGCCGGGGUCAACUCGGAGGAAGGUGGGGACGACGUCAAAUCAUCAUGCCCCUUAUGUCUUGGGCUGCACACGUGCUACAAUGGCCGGUACAAUGAGCUGCGAUACCGCGAGGUGGAGCGAAUCUCAAAAAGCCGGUCUCAGUUCGGAUUGGGGUCUGCAACUCGACCCCAUGAAGUCGGAGUUGCUAGUAAUCGCAGAUCAGCAUUGCUGCGGUGAAUACGUUCCCGGGCCUUGUACACACCGCCCGUCACGUCACGAAAGUCGGUAACAC